rnacentral:rRNA from 1 species
UUUAACUGAGCGUUCAGUUACUUGACGUAGACCCGAAACCGGGCGACCUACCCAUGAGCAGGAUGAAGCGAAAGUAAAAUUUCGUGGAGGUCCGAACCCACGAGCGUUGAAAAGCUCGGGGAUGACUUGUGGGUAGCGGUGAAAUUCCAAUCGAGCCCGGAGAUAGCUGGUUCUCCCCGAAAUAGCUUUAGGGCUAGCCUCAAGGUGAGAGAUACGGAGGUAGAGCACUGAAUGUCCUAGGGGGUAUUGCACCUACCGAAGACUAUCAAACUCCGAAUGCCGUCAUCUUAUACUUGGGAGUCAGACUGUGGGUGAUAAGAUUCAUAGUCGAAAGGGCAACAGCCCAGAUCGUCAGCUAAGGUCCCUAAAUGUAAGUUAAGUGGUAAAGGAUGUGGGAUUGCACAGACAACCAGGAUGUUGGCUUAGAAGCAGCCACUCAUUCAAAGAGUGCGUAAUAGCUCACUGGUCGAGUGAUCCUGCGCCGAAGAUUUCCGGGGCUAAAACUUACUACCGAAGCUACGGCAUCAGUAAUGAUGGGUAGGGGAGCUUCCCAUACGGGUUGAAGCAUGACCGUAAGGACAUGUGGACAGUAUGGGAGUGAGAAUGUUGGCAUGAGUAGCGAGAUGUGGGUGAGAAUCCCACAGGCCGUAAACCCAAGGUUUCCAGGGGAAGGUUCGUCCGCCCUGG